rnacentral:rRNA from 1 species
CGGGAGGCAGCAGUGAGGAAUAUUGGACAAUGGAUGGAAAUCUGAUCCAGCCAUGCCGCGUGCAGGAAGACGGCCUUAUGGGUUGUAAACUGCUUUUAUACGGGAGCAAUAAGGGUUACGAGUAAUCCGAUGAGAGUACUGUAUGAAUAAGGAUCGGCUAACUCCGUGCCAGCAGCCGCGGUAAUACGGAGGAUCCGAGCGUUAUCCGGAAUUAUUGGGUUUAAAGGGUGCGUAGGCGGCCAUUUAAGUCAGCGGUGAAAUUUUGCAGCUUAACUGUAACAGUGCCGUUGAUACUGUUUGGCUAGGAUUUGGUUGUAGUGUGCGGAAUGUGUGGUGUAGCGGUGAAAUGCUUAGAUAUCACACAGAACACCGAUUGCGAAGGCAGCACACUAAGUCAUUAUUGACGCUGAGGCACGAAAGUGUGGGGAUCAAACAGGAUUAGAUACCCUGGUAGUCCACACUGUAAACGAUGAUAACUCGCUGUCGGCGAUACACAGUCGGUGGCCAAGCGAAAGCAUAAGU